rnacentral:rRNA from 1 species
UGCCCCUACGGAGGCAGCAGUGAGGAAUAUUGGUCAAUGGCCGAGAGGCUGAACCAGCCAAGUCGCGUGAGGGAUGACGGCCCUACGGGUUGUAAACCUCUUUUGUCGGGGAGCAAGACCCGCCUCGUGCAGGCGGAGCGAGAGUACCCGAAGAAAAAGCAUCGGCUAACUCCGUGCCAGCAGCCGCGGUAAUACGGAGGAUGCGAGCGUUAUCCGGAUUUAUUGGGUUUAAAGGGUGCGUAGGCGGUCCGUUAAG